rnacentral:rRNA from 1 species
ACGCUGGCGGCAGCCCUUAUACAUGCAAGUCGAACGAGAAAGUUCCUUCGGGAGCGAGUAAAGUGGCGGACGGGUGAGUAACGCGUAGGAAUCUACCUUUCAGUGGGGGAUAGCUCGGGGAAACUCGAAUUAAUACCGCAUACACCCUUCGGGGGAAAGGGGGCCUCUCCUUGGAAGCUCUCGCUGUUAGAUGAGCCUGCGUGAGAUUAGCUUGUUGGUAAGGUAAUGGCUUACCAAGGCUACGAUCUCUAGCUGGUCUGAGAGGACGAUCAGCCACACUGGGACUGAGACACGGCCCAGACUCCUACGGGAGGCAGCAGUAGGGAAUAUUGGACAAUGGGGGCAACCCUGAUCCAGGCAUGCCGCGUGUGUGAAGAAGGCCUUAGGGUUGUAAAGCACUUUAAGUGAGGAAGAAAAGAUUUAAAUUAAUACUUUAAGUCCCUGACAUUACUCACAGAAUAAGGACCGGCUAACUCCGUGCCAGCAGCCGCGGUAAUACGGAGGGUCCAAGCGUUAAUCGGAAUUACUGGGCGUAAAGCGCGCGUAGAUGGUUUAUUUAGUUGGGUGUGAAAUCCCUGGGCUCAACCUAGGAACUGCAUUCAAAACUUAUAAACUAGAGUACGAAAGAGGAGAGUAGAAUUCAUGGUGUAGCGGUGAAAUGCGUAGAGAUCAUGAGGAAUACCAGUGGCGAAGGCGACUCUCUGGUUCGAGACUGACAUUGAGGUGCGAAAGCGUGGGUAGCAAACAGGAUUAGAUACCCUGGUAGUCCACGCCGUAAACGAUGAGAACUAGCCGUUGGAUCUUUAGAUUCAGUGGCGCAGCUAACGCAUUAAGUUCUCCGCC